rnacentral:rRNA from 1 species
UCAAAUUAUAUCGUGAUGUUAGAUAUGUCUGUUAGUACAGCAGAUGGUAAACAGGUAACAGUGCAAUUUGUUCACGGGGUAGAUGUCUACAAAGAAGCAAAGAAUAUUUUGCUUUUGUAUCUCCCAUAUACAUUUUUGGUUACAAUUGCUUUUUCCUUUGUUUUUUCUUAUUUUUAUACUAAACGCUUGCUCAAUCCUCUUUUUUACAUUUCAGAAGUGACUAGUAAAAUGCAAGAUUUGGAUGACAAUAUUCGUUUUGAUGAAAGUAGGAAAGAUGAAGUUGGUGAAGUUGGUGAAGUUGGAAAACAGAUUAAUGGUAUGUAUGAGCACUUGUUGAAGGUUAUUCAUGAGUUGGAAAGUCGUAAUGAGCAAAUUGUAAAAUUGCAAAAUCAAAAGGUUUCCUUUGUCCGCGGAGCAUCACAUGAGUUGAAAACCCCUUUAGCCAGUCUUAGAAUUAUCCUAGAGAAUAUGCAGCAUAAUAUUGGAGAUUACAAAGAUCAUCCAAAAUAUAUUGCAAAGAGUAUAAAUAAGAUUGACCAGAUGAGCCACUUAUUGGAAGAAGUACUGGAGUCUUCUAAAUUCCAAGAGUGGACAGAGUGUCGUGAGACCUUGACUGUUAAGCCAGUUUUAGUAGAUAUUUUAUCACGUUAUCAAGAAUUAGCUCAUUCAAUAGGUGUUACAAUUGAAAAUCAAUUGACAGAUGCUACCAGGGUCGUCAUGAGUCUUAGGGCAUUGGAUAAGGUUUUGACAAACCUGAUUAGUAAUGCAAUUAAAUAUUCAGAUAAAAAUGGGCGUGUAAUCAUAUCCGAGCAAGAUGGCUAUCUCUCUAUCAAAAAUACAUGUGCGCCUCUAAGUGACCAAGAACUGGAACAUUUAUUUGAUAUAUUCUAUCAUUCUCAAAUCGUGACAGAUAAGGAUGAAAGUUCCGGUUUGGGUCUUUACAUUGUGAAUAAUAUUUUAGAAAGCUAUCAAAUGGAUUAUAGUUUUCUCCCUUAUGAACACGGUAUGGAAUUUAAGAUUAGCUUGUAGACAGAUUAGUUUUUUAUUAAAGUUCAUAUAGGGUUAACAUAAGUGUGUUAUUCUUUGUGUAGAUAAAAGAAAGGAUACUAAUAUGGUAUUAGCGAUUAUUUUAGUAACAUUCCUUAUUCGAUUGAUUUUUUUAAAGCGUUCGAUAGAGAAUGAGAAACGAAUCCUUAGCAAUGGCGGGAAAGAAUUUGGAGUUGAGAAUACAAAACGAUUAACGUUGGCUCAUAUUGUUUUUUAUCUCUCUUGCUUGGUUGAGGCAAUGGUGCACAAGACAAUUUUUGAUGGCAUGGGCAUGGUUGGUUUAGUCUUGCUUAUUUUUUCUAUGCUGAUGUUGAUGUUGGUGAUUCACUUGUUGGGAGAUAUUUGGACAGUGAAGCUUAUGCUUGUCAAUAAUCACAAAUAUGUAGAUCAUAUCUUGUUUAGGACAGUAAAACAUCCUAAUUACUUUUUAAAUAUUCUUCCUGAGUUGAUUGGCUUGACCUUGUUGAGUCAUGCCUAUAUGACUUUUGUUUUAGUUUUUCCAGUUUAUGCAGUUAUUUUGUAUCGACGAAUAGCUGAAGAGGAAAAGCUAUUACAUGAAGUUAUAAUCCCAAAUGGAAGCAUAAAGAGAUAAAUACAAAAUUCGAUUUAUAUACAGUUCAUAUUGAAGUGAUAUAGUAAGGUUAAAGAAAAAAUAUAGAAGGAAAUAAACAUGUUUGCAUCAAAAAGCGAAAGAAAAGUACAUUAUUCAAUUCGUAAAUUUAGUAUUGGAGUAGCUAGUGUAGUAGUUGCUAGCUUGUUCUUAGGAGGAGUAGUCCAUGCAGAAGGGGUUAGAAGUGAGAAUACCCCCACGGUUACAUCUAGUGGGCAAGAUAUAUCGAAGAAGUAUGCUGAUGAAGUCAAGUCGCAUAUAGAAAGUAGAUUGAGUGAGAUCAAAUUAGAUAGAAGAAAACAUACCCAAAAUUUCAACUUAAACAUAAAGUUGAGCAGAAUUCAAACGGAGUAUUUGUAUAAAUUAAAAGUUAAUGGUUUAGAAGAGAAGUCGAAAGCUGAGUUGACGUCAAAAACAAAAAAAGAGUUAGACGCAGUUUUUGAGCAGUUUAAAAAAGAUACAUUAUCAACAGAACCAGAAAAAAAGGUAGCAGAAGCUGAGAAGAAGGUUGAAGAAGCUAAGAAAAAAGCCAAGGAUCAAAAAGAAGAAGAUCGCCGUAACUACCCAACCAAUACUUACAAAACGCUUGAACUUGAAAUUGCUGAGUCCGAUGUGAAAGUUAAAGAAGCGGAGCUUGAACUAGUAAAAGAGGAAGCUAAGGAACCUCGAGACGAGGAAAAAAUUAAGCAAGCAAAAGCGAAAGUUGAGAGUAAAAAAGCUGAGGCUACAAGGUUAGAAAACAUCAAGACAGAUCGUAAAAAAGCAGAAGAAGAAGCUAAACGAAAAGCAGCAGAAGAAGAUAAAGUUAAAGAAAAACCAGCUGAACAACCACAACCAGCGCCGGCUCCUCAACCAGAAAAACCAGCUCCAAAACCAGAGAAGCCAGCUGAACAACCAAAAGCAGAAAAAACAGAUGAUCAACAAGCUGAAGAAGACUAUGCUCGUAGAUCAGAAGAAGAAUAUAAUCGCUUGACUCAACAGCAACCGCCAAAAACUGAAAAACCAGCACAACCAUCUACUCCAAAAACAGGCUGGAAACAAGAAAACGGUAUGUGGUACUUCUACAAUACUGAUGGUUCAAUGGCAACAGGAUGGCUCCAAAACAACGGUUCAUGGUACUAUCUAAACGCUAAUGGUGCUAUGGCGACAGGAUGGCUCCAAAACAAUGGUUCAUGGUACUAUCUAAACGCUAAUGGUUCAAUGGCAACAGGAUGGCUCCAAAACAAUGGUUCAUGGUACUACCUAAACGCUAAUGGUGCUAUGGCGACAGGAUGGCUCCAAUACAAUGGUUCAUGGUACUACCUAAACAGCAAUGGCGCUAUGGCGACAGGAUGGCUCCAAUACAAUGGCUCAUGGUACUACCUCAACGCUAAUGGUGAUAUGGCGACAGGAUGGCUCCAAAACAACGGUUCAUGGUACUACCUCAACGCUAAUGGUGAUAUGGCGACAGGAUGGCUCCAAUACAACGGUUCAUGGUAUUACCUCAACGCUAAUGGUGAUAUGGCGACAGGUUGGGUGAAAGAUGGAGAUACCUGGUACUAUCUUGAAGCAUCAGGUGCUAUGAAAGCAAGCCAAUGGUUCAAAGUAUCAGAUAAAUGGUACUAUGUCAAUGGCUCAGGUGCCCUUGCAGUCAACACAACUGUAGAUGGCUAUGGAGUCAAUGCCAAUGGUGAAUGGGUAAACUAAACCUAAUAUAACUAGUUAAUACUGACUUCCUGUAAGAACUUUUUAAAGUAUUCCCUACAAAUACCAUAUCCUUUCAGUAGAUAAUAUACCCUUGUAGGAAGUUUAGAUUAAAAAAUAACUCUGUAAUCUCUAGCCGGAUUUAUAGCGCUAGAGACUACGGAGUUUUUUUGGCUCUUUGUCAACUGUAGUGGGUUGAAGAAAAGCUAAGCUCGAGAAAGGACAAAAUUCGUCCUUUCUUUUUUGAUGUUCAGAGCGAUAAAAAUCCUUUUUUUGAAGUUUUCAAAGUUCCGAAAACCAAAGGCGUUUCGUUUGAUAAGUUUGAUGAGAUUAUUGGUCGCUUCCAAUUUGGCGUUUGAAUAGGGUAGUUGAAGGGCGUUGACGAUUUUCUCUUUGUCCUUUAGAAAGGUUUUAAAGACAGUCUGAAAAAGAGGAUGAACCUGCUUUAGAUUGUCCUCAAUGAGUCCGAAAAAUUUCUCNACCGUAAGACUAAGGUUUCCAGGGGAAGGCUCGUCCGCCCUGGGUUAGUCGGGACCUAAGGAGAGACCGAAAGGUGUAUCCGAUGGACAACAGGUUGAUAUUCCUGUACUAGAGUAUGUAGUGAUGGAGGGACGCAGUAGGCUAACUAAAGCAGACGAUUGGAAGAGUCUGUCUAAGCAGUGAGGUGUGAAUUGAGUCAAAUGCUUAAUUCUAUAACAUUGAGCUGUGAUGGGGAGCGAAGUUUAGUAGCGAAGUUAGUGACGUCACACUGCCAAGAAAAGCUUCUAGCGUUUAAACAUACUCUACCCGUACCGCAAACCGACACAGGUAGUCGAGGCGAGUAGCCUCAGGUGAGCGAGAGAACUCUCGUUAAGGAACUCGGCAAAAUGACCCCGUAACUUCGGGAGAAGGGGUGCUGACUUAAAGUCAGCCGCAGUGAAUAGGCCCAAGCAACUGUUUAUCAAAAACACAGCUCUCUGCUAAAUCGUAAGAUGAUGUAUAGGGGGUGACGCCUGCCCGGUGCUGGAAGGUUAAGAGGAGUGCUUAGCGUAAGCGAAGGUAUGAAUUGAAGCCCCAGUAAACGGCGGCCGUAACUAUAACGGUCCUAAGGUAGCGAAAUUCCUUGUCGGGUAAGUUCCGACCCGCACGAAAGGCGUAAUGAUUUGGGCACUGUCUCAACGAGAGACUCGGUGAAAUUUUAGUACCUGUGAAGAUGCAGGUUACCCGCGACAGGACGGAAAGACCCCAUGGAGCUUUACUGCAGUUUGAUAUUGAGUGUCUGUACCACAUGUACAGGAUAGGUAGGAGUCUACGAGAUCGGGACGCCAGUUUCGAAGGAGACGCUGUUGGGAUACUACCCUUGUGUUAUGGCCACUCUAACCCAGAUAGGUGAUCCCUAUCGGAGACAGUGUCUGACGGGCAGUUUGACUGGGGCGGUCGCCUCCUAAAAGGUAACGGAGGCGCCCAAAGGUUCCCUCAGAAUGGUUGGAAAUCAUUCGCAGAGUGUAAAGGUAUAAGGGAGCUUGACUGCGAGAGCUACAACUCGAGCAGGGACGAAAGUCGGGCUUAGUGAUCCGGUGGUUCCGUAUGGAAGGGCCAUCGCUCAACGGAUAAAAGCUACCCUGGGGAUAACAGGCUUAUCUCCCCCAAGAGUUCACAUCGACGGGGAGGUUUGGCACCUCGAUGUCGGCUCGUCGCAUCCUGGGGCUGUAGUCGGUCCCAAGGGUUGGGCUGUUCGCCCAUUAAAGCGGCACGCGAGCUGGGUUCAGAACGUCGUGAGACAGUUCGGUCCCUAUCCGUCGCGGGCGUAGGAAAUUUGAGAGGAUCUGCUCCUAGUACGAGAGGACCAGAGUGGACUUACCGCUGGUGUACCAGUUGUCUUGCCAAAGGCAUCGCUGGGUAGCUAUGUAGGGAAGGGAUAAACGCUGAAAGCAUCUAAGUGUGAAACCCACCUCAAGAUGAGAUUUCCCAUGAUUAUAUAUCAGUAAGAGCCCUGAGAGAUGAUCAGGUAGAUAGGUUAGAAGUGGAAGUGUGGCGACACAUGUAGCGGACUAAUACUAAUAGCUCGAGGACUUAUCCAA